UUACGGGAGGCAGCAGUGGGGAAUUUUGGACAAUGGGCGCAAGCCUGAUCCAGCCAUGCCGCGUGCGGGAAGAAGGCCUUCGGGUUGUAAACCGCUUUUGGCAGGAACGAAACGGCGCGAGCCAAUACCUCGCGCUAAUGACGGUACCUGCAGAAUAAGCACCGGCUAACUACGUGCCAGCAGCCGCGGUAAUACGUAGGGUGCAAGCGUUAAUCGGAAUUACUGGGCGUAAAGCGUGCGCAGGCGGCUUUGCAAGACAGGUGUGAAAUCCCCGGGCCUAACCUGGGAACUGCAUUUGUGACUGCAUAGCUAGAGUCUGUCAGAGGGGGGUGGAAUUCCACGUGUAGCAGUGAAAUGCGUAGAGAUGUGGAAGAACACCGAUGGCGAAGGCAGCCCCCUGGGAUAAGACUGACGCUCAUGCACGAAAGCGUGGGGAGCAAACAGGAUUAGAUACCCUGGU
rnacentral:rRNA from 1 species